CACCCAGCAACGGAGGAGGCGCCGCCCCUGCCUUGGUCGACCUACCAACCGACCAGUCGCACCUCCUCUUCACGGCCACCCACAAAGAUUGAACUUCAUAACAGAUUGAAACUCAUCAAGCUGAAUGCAGCUAUGUCUAAGCCAUCUGUCACAGAUGUAUUAAACUUCUUGUCUUGAUGCCUCCUGAAAACUGCCAAGAAGAGUUGGGAAUUGAAAUACCUGACAUCAUCGGAGGUUGGCGAUCAUGUUGAUGAUCC